rnacentral:lncRNA from 1 species
CUGGGGCAGAAGAAUCAUCACAGAUACAGUUAGGGUCACAUUGCUGGGCAAGCGUCAGCACCACAAUAGAGAUUUUUUUUUUUAUUGCAGUAAAAUAUACAUAACAUAAAGGUCACCAUCUUAACCAUUUUAAAGUGGCAUUAAGGACAUUGGCACUGUUGUGCAACCAUCACCACCAUCCACCUCCAGAAUUUUUUACAUCUACCCAAAUUGAAACUGCACCCAUUAAACAACAACCCCCGCCCCCCUGCCCCUGGUCACCACCGUCCCACUUCCUGUCUGUGAAUCUGUUGCUAGAUGCCUCACAUGAGCAGAUUCCCAUAGUGUUUGUCAUGAACGGAAUUGCAUAGAGUUUGUUAUGAGCAGAUUUGCAUAGUUUUUUGUCAUGAGCAGAAUCACAUAGUGUUUGUCAUGAGCAUAAUUGCAUAGUGUUUGUCAUGAGCAGAUUCACAUAAUGUUUAUUGUGAGCUGAUUUGCAUAGCAUUUGUCACGAGCCGAUUUGCACAGUAUUUGUCAUGAGCAGAAUCGCAUCGCAUUUGUCAUGAGCAGAAUCACAUCAUAUUUGUCAUGAGUGGAUUUGCAUAGUGUUUGCUGUGAGCGGAAUCACAUAGUGUUUGCCGUGAGCGGAAUCGCAUAGUGUUUGUCAUGAAUGGAUUCGCAUAGUAUUUGUCAUGAGCAGAUUUGCAUAGUAUUUGCCACGAGUGGAAUCACAUCAUAUUUUUCAUGAAUGGAUUCGCAUAGUGUUUGCUGUGAGUGAAAUCGCAUAGUAUUUGCCGUGAGCAGCAUCGCAUAGUGUUUGCCGUGAGCGAAAUCGCAUAGUGUUUGCCGCGAGCGGCAUCACAUAGUGUUUGUUGUGAAUAGAUUCACAUAGUAUUUGUCAUGAGUGGAAUCACAUCGUAUUUGUCAUGAGUGGAAUCGCAUAGUGUUUGCUGUGAGUGAAAUCGCAUAGUGUUUGCUGUGAGUGAAAUCGCAUAGUGUUUGUCGUGAAUGGAUUCACAUAGUAUUUGUCAUGAGUAGAAUCACACAGUAUUUGUCAUGAGCGGGUUUGCAUAGUAUUUGCCAUGAGUGGAAUUGCAUAGUAUUUGCCAUGAGCAGAAUCGUAUAGUAUUUGUCAUGCUGUGACGGUAGCCGUGUUCCUUCUGCUGAGUGUGGGAAGGAGGACUGAGUCCACCUGCAACUGAGGCUCCGACCAGACCAAGCCAUCCAUGGGGAAGGAAUUAAUCUGUUUGAAGGUUGCUGCUCUACGUUAUCCCAACAGCAUCAGCCCAAAAGUCAGCCUCAGGGAAUGUGGGCUGUUGCCAUGGAGAUUCUGCCCAGGGGUCACCUCUGUGGUCCACGGAAAGAAAAGGUUCUGGCGGCAAACCCUUUCCUUAGUCCUGGGGCCUCUAAGUGACCCCUUCAAGUCUGAAAACCCAUCCUGCCCUCUCUGAGCCUUGCAGGUGGUGCUCUCUCUGCCCGUACCCUUCACCCUUGCUUGCCUGGCCAGUCCUCCCCACCCAAGAAGGCCUGAUUUAGCUGUUGCUUCCUGCAGUAGCAUCCUAUGAGCUUUGGUGCCACCUCAGUUACCUCCAUGGAAUUCCUUAUGACAAAAAAUUGUCCCUUUACUGAUCAGUCUCCCCCAGCAGAGCAUAGGCUCAUUUUGGGCAGGGGCAACUGCUUCUUCACCACUCACCUCUGAGCCUGGCAAGGGCAGACAGCUGUUUCAGGUCAGGCCCCUCACUGGAGUGAGGGCUGGAGGGCGGGCACUCAGGGGGAAUCUGCAGGGAGGAGAGGGAAGUUAUCCAGGGAAAAGCUAAGCAAAAUUGUGGCUUCAGAUGAGUCUAACCUGACCUGAUUCCCCUGAAGAGUUCUGGUACCUGAAUGCACCACAGAGUUGUCCCGCCAUGCGUUGGGGGCCAGGUUUUUGCACCUGUAUGAGUCAGUCAUUGGGUACAACCUUCCAGGCAUAGCCAGGUGGUACAAUGCCCUUUGCAGAGGGCAGCUCUCUGGGAAGUCGGCAGCUGUGUCUGCAGCCGGCACUCACACACCUGGCGGGGGGGGGGGGGGGGAGGUGGGAACCAAGAUCAUCUACUACAGCACAGGUGAGUACUUGUUCAAUGAAUGCUUGUCAAUAGUAAUGAUGAAAACAAAAUUAGCUGCUAAUGAUGAAAACAAAAUUAGCUGCUGACGUUCACUCUGUGCCAGCCCCUGUGCUCUUUUGCUUACACCGUUUCAUUCAGUCUCUACCACAACCCUAUGAGGUAGGUGCCAAUUGUAUGAGGAAAUUGAUGUCCCACAGAGCUGAGUGAUUUGCCCAAGAUGCACAGCUAAAGGCUGGCAAUGUCCAGGCUCAAACCUGGAUCUCCUUGCCUUGAUCCCAGAUGAUAGGCAUGAAUGUUAAAGUCCAGGAAGCACUGUAGGGGAAAGGACAUUGAGACUUUUUCCCUUCCUCUCUCUCUGAAAACAACUUUUGCUUGUGUUAUUUCCUUUCGCCAGCUUACUUCUGUGCGAUGUGGGCCUGUGUUAACCUGCGAGGUUGUUAAACUGGUAAAAACAUUUAAACAACACCUUGAUCAAGCGCCGCCUCCUCCUAAGUAGCCUUCACCUUUCCUUCUGCAAAGCUGUCCCCUUAAAUACCAAAGGUGUCAAAUGGCUGCAGGUUGACUUCCUCUUGGGUCUCCACAGACAGAGUCAUUGACACAGGUAGACUUAGAGUCAAUGAGAGAGCAACCCUUACAUCCCUGGACUGCUCCUCUAUUUCUGCACUUCGGCCCAUGGAAACGUCCUGGUCAAUACUUCCUUGCUGCUUUAUCUUUCAGAGGUCCCAGGCCACCACAGUAUUUGUCCUAAUUAGAGUCAGUUUGCUUUGCAAACCACACUCAAGCUCUCCUAGACACCGAGCAGCUGCUCCUCUGACGUCCCCACCGGAGCCCUUGUUUGCAUUGUAUGUUGUCAGCAAACAGACCGCCUUGAACAAGCCACUUGGGAGCGCUCCUCACCCGGGACCGGAGCAGCAGGCACAUGGAAAACUCUUCCAGCUUUUCCUUAACAGACGGCUACCUUGCUUCAUCAUUUCAAAAAAUGACAGCAAGAAAUAAAGCACUCAUACAAACACGUAAAAAGAGGUCAUGGAGAGUGGAAAGAACAGUAAUAUACCCACCAAGGAGCAGCCUCUUAGCCCUUGCUCUCCCAGAACAUGUCUUUCUCGGUAGGAAGAAGUUUAGCAGAGGAUUAUGGAGAUGGUCUCAGCAACAAGACUGCCUGGAUUUCCAUCCUAGUUCCUGCCCCAGGUACCAGGUGGAUACUUGAGUGCUAAGCUGGUUGUCCUUGGGCCCUUCAUGCCAGGCUCCCAGAGGCCCUGCACUCUGAACAUCAGGCAAUGCCUCUCUAUGAUACAUAGCUUUAAUCAGCAGCAAAAUAAAAUGGGGCUCAUUGAAUAAGGCUUACAAAGAUGAUGAGCUCCUGCCUGGGUUUGCACUGCCUGCUGUGCGGACGAGCCGCAUCUGUGGACUCCUCCUUAGUCAGACCAAGCUGCCAUCUUUACCUUGGCUCCAAAGGUGACCUAUGAGCUGCCACACCUACUCUAGGAAUGCCCAGCAAAGUCCUGACUUGGCAACAGGGACCAGGGAUAGAGACUUUGACACAUCUCCGGUGACUCUUCUGGAAAGGAGUGGAAGAUCUGCCGGUGAGCAAUAGAAGCGUCACACCCCGGUUCCCAAACCCAGCCCUAGACAUUCUGGUGCCAAGAGGUGUCACUUCCUGGCAAAGGUGAAGGGAGGGUCAGUUUCUCCCUGCUGUUCCUGAUUCCAUCAGCUCUUGACCCACAGAGCAAACAUGUGCCCAGCCUCUGCAGCGACAACCAGGUGUUCUCCUGGACUCACCCUGGCCCAGAUCCGCUCGGUGGAGUUGGCAUCUGCUGUGAGCCUCCCAUUUGAUUUGACGGUUUCCAUUUAGUAGGUAUUUGUAGAUGCAGCCAGUCCUUUGAAGAAUUAUUAUGCUCAUAAAGUGCAGAGAAAAUGGUAUAGCCCUGCCUACUUCUCAGUUUUCUGAGGCUCAGGAAUCAGCACGUUGUUUUCCUGAUUUCGCUCUAGGCUUUCUUCACUCCCGUAAUGAGCAGUAGGGGUCACUGUGUAGCCACAGAACGCCUCCACGAGGCUCCAGAAAUCUAACUCCACCUACCUCUGGGCUGGACCAGAACACUUGGAUGAAACGGCCACGUCACCACAUCUUCACAAAGUCAGGGGACACAUUUAGCAGGAUCUUUUCUGAUUGAAAUGAUCAAUGGCUAUUUCUAUGUUGCUGAAGUGAAAAUGAAUAUAGUGGUUUGGGUUGGAAUCACUAUGUUGAUAUAAUACAUAUAUAGUGAUAUAAAUGACUAUAUUGAUAUAAAUGAUAUUGCCACCAACUCGUUAUGCUCCUGAAUUUCCUCAAUUAGUUUGAAAAUUGGUCCAUUUUCCCCAAAUAAGCUUAGAAUACAGUUUUGUUUUGUUUUAGACAGAGUCUUGCUCUGUUGCACAAGCUGGAGUGCAGUGGUGCAAUCUUGGCUCACUGCAACCUCUGCCUCCCGGGUUCAAGCGAUUCUCCUGCCUCAGCCUCCCAAGUAGCUGGGAUUAUAGGCAUAUGCCACCACAUCCGGCUAAUUUUUAUUUUUCGGAGAGAUGGAGUUUCACCAUGUUGGCCAGCCUGGAUACGAACAGAAUAUACAGUUUUAAUUGCAUGUGUGUAUAUGUUUAGAUACUGAUAAGCAAACAUUGUGUUAAAAACCAAGUAUCGCAUUAUUCUGUUUUUUAAGACCUAGAUUUAUGGAAGAUAAACAUUAGAAAACAAUAUUCAGCAGUCUUGUUUCUAGUUUUAACAUUGACCUAAUGUGAAACAGAAGAAAAUUUGGGAUCAAUAAUAACACCACUUUGGUACCAACCACAGAACAAAAAAAGUUGAAAAAAAAAAAACAACCCACACCCUCAAAAGAUAACAAUGUAGUAUGUACGAAAAAAGUGAGUAGAAAUAAAAUAAAAUCAGAUACUAUGUGGGAAAGGGCUUUGUUGUCCAUACAUUGCCAUAGUUGGCCCAGGCAAGGAUAGUGGCAAUUGAAACACUUUCUAAGAUGCACAGCCCUGCAAGUCAGCUUUUGGCUGAUUUCCUGGGUAUUUAACUUGGAAUUGGACAACGGCCCUGGCUGCUCCUCACAACCCCUACCACCUCUGUCCACCAGGGGGCUUCACUCUUUUCCGCUUGGAUUCUCUUUACAUCCUCCACCGGUCCCCAACUCCACUCACCCAUCCCCCAGUAGAUUCCCUCCACUCUCCCCAUUUCCCUUCUUGUUUCCCACCUGGUCUACGAUCUAGCCAUUAAGGCUUCGGGGAGAAACAUAGGAAAAUCAGCACAGCCCACCAACUCCACUGCCUUGAAACUGCUUCUGCGUCUGUCGGCCCGCCUGCUUUCCACAGUACGGCAAAUCCUGGGCGUUCAACAAAUAUUGUGGACCACCACUACACUAGAACCACCAAAGAAAUAUGAUCAAGGCUGCACAAAGUAGUGCACUGAGGAUCCACUGCUAAUGAAUUUGGAAAAAUUAAAAGUCACAGGCCGGGCGCGGUGGCUCAAGGCUGGGCGCAGUGGCUCACGCCUAUAGUCCCAGCACUUUGGGAGGCUGAAGCGGGU